GUUAGGAUUGAACUGGAAUGGUUAAGGUUAGGUACUGACCUCAAAUGGUUAAGGUUAGGCAUUGAACUCGAAUAGUUAAGGUUAGGCAUUGAACUCUAAUAGUUAAGGAUAGGCAUUGAACUCGAAUAGUUAUGGUUAGGCAUUGAACUCGAAUAGUUAUGGUUAGGCAUUGAACUCGAAUAGUUAAGGUUAGGCAAUGAACUCGAAUAGUUAAGGUUAGGCAAUGAACACGAAUAGUUAAGGUUAGGCA